CCAGACCCCUCGAUCUGCCCGGAGAAGCCACGACAGGAGAGUGGUGAUUGGUGCAAGCAACAUGGGAUGAGCAUCGGCCUGGUGCCUGGUACUCCCUCAGAAGCUGACAGACCUAGCCUCUCAACUUUCGGGGAAAGUUAUUAGGAUGUCUGAAGCCACAGCUAGGUGUGUGAUAUGGGGCAAGCCAGCAACCUCUCUGGGCCCCAGGCCUGUAAAAUGAAAGGAAUGGGAUUUGAGCAGUGAUUCUCAGCUUUGAAUGCCCCACAAUUGCCUUUGAAGCUUUUUUGAAAAAUAUACAGCCCUGGGACCUUACCCUGCGAUAUUUCAAAACUCCUAAGAAAUCUGCAGGUCCCUGCACUGUUUAACACAGGCACAUCCGGCAAAAGUCGAGAACCUGGCUCUGUUUCCAAGAUUUUGUUUAUUUAUUUGACAGACAGAGACAUUGAGAG